CACAUGCAAGUCGAACGCAGUAGCAAUACUGAGUGGCAGACGGGUGAGUAACAUGUGGGAAUCUGCCUUGUGGUUCAGGACAACAUUGGGAAACCGAUGCUAAUACUGGAUAAGCCCUUACGGGGAAAGUUUUAAUGCCAUAAGAUGAGCCCGCAUUUGAUUAGUUAGUUGGUGAGGUAAUGGCUCACCAAGACAAUGAUCAAUAGCUGAUCUGAGAGGAUGAUCAGCCACACUGGGACUGAGACACGGCCCAGACUCCUACGGGAGGCAGCAGUGGGGAAUCUUGCACAAUGGAGGAAACUCUGAUGCAGCGAUGCCGCGUGAGUGAAGAAGGCCUUUGGGUUGUAAAGCUCUUUUGUAGGGGAAGAUAAUGACUGUACCCUAAGAAUAAGGUCCGGCUAACUUCGUGCCAGCAGCCGCGGUAAUACGAAGGGACCUAGCGUAGUUCGGAAUUACUGGGCGUAAAGCGCGCGUAGGCCGUUGAGUUAGUUAAUUGUGAAAUCCCAAAGCUUAACUUUGGAACUGCAAUUAAAACUGCUCGACUAGAGUUUGAUAGAGGAAAGCGGAAUACAUAGUGUAGAGGUGAAAUUCGUAGAUAUUAUGUAGAACACCAGUUGCGAAGGCGGCUUUCUGGAUCAACACUGACGCUGAGGCGCGAAAGUAUGGGUAGCAAAGAGGAUUAGAUACCCUCGUAGUCCAUACCAUAAACGAUGAUUGCUAGAUGUUGGAAAUUUAUUUUCAGUAUCGCAGCUAACGCAUUAAGCAAUCCGCCUGGGGAGUACGACCGCAAGGUUAAAACUCAAAUGAAUUGACGGA
rnacentral:rRNA from 1 species